GCCCCACCCUAGCCCUGAGCAGGUACAGAGCCAUCCUUUGGCCCCGGGAAGAGGCCUUCUGUCCCCAGUCCUAUCCUCUAAAAGCUCCAGCUUUUCGUUUCUGUCCUAACUUUCCUGGGGUUGAGUCUCCACCCAGGGCCAACUAGGGGAGAAGGCUGCGAAGAACUCACACUCCUUGCAGACCAGGUCCUUCAGCCCCUGCCCACGGAUGUUGGGGGAGGGGCUUGUUCGGCAUGACCCCUUCAAGGCCAGAUCUGUAGAGACACUAGCAGCCUGAAGACCCUGGAAGUCUCUGGAUCCCCUGCUGGAGGAGUCCUCACUUCAGCUAGAGCUGGAGGAGUCUCUCGAGGAGGGGUCACCACCAACGGUACCCAGCAAACAGAGCCAUGGUGCGGGGAUGAAGCAAAGAGACCACCACGCACACCUCCAAGGUCUCAGUGACUCAGUAGGAAUUGGGGCAGCACUCAGAAUCUAGGGCCAGGCCCCUGGGGAAUGUGAGAGUCGAGGUCCUUGAAUAUUUCAUCAGCACUUCAGCUCCGGUUGAAGCAGCAGCCAACUUACCGCUCAUGGAUAAUUUAUGAUCCCAACAGAGAACCUGGAAGUAGUGAGGGGGGAGGGCAUGGGGGGGGGGGAGGCAGGGCCAAGCUGUAGAUAAGAGUGAAGGAGAGAAGCCAGCUGGAUGGGAGUGUGUGAGAGGUCUGGGAGCAGGAGCUCCCAACACCAUGAGACUCUUCCAUGUUUGAGGAUACCAAGGCAUUAAAAAUCAAUAAACAGCACAGUGAUGGAG